GGACCAGACUCCUACGGGAGGCAGCAGUGAGGAAUAUUGGUCAAUGGGCGAGAGCCUGAACCAGCCAAGUCGCGUGAAGGAUGACGGCCCUACGGGUUGUAAACUUCUUUUGUCAGGGAGCAAUUGAGUCCACGUGUGGGCUUAGCGAGAGUACCUGAAGAAAAAGCAUCGGCUAACUCCGUGCCAGCAGCCGCGGUAAUACGGAGGAUGCGAGCGUUAUCCGGAUUUAUUGGGUUUAAAGGGUGCGUAGGCGGAAUAUCAAGUCAGCGGUAAAAAUUCGGGGCUCAACCCCGUCGUGCCGUUGAAACUGGCAGUCUCGAGUUGGAGAGAAGUAUGCGGAAUGCGCGGUGUAGCGGUGAAAUGCAUAGAUAUCGCGCAGAACUCCGAUUGCGAAGGCAGCGCACCGGCGCCCUACUGACGCUCAGGCACGAAAGCGUGGGUAUCGAACAGGAUUAGAUACCCUAGUAA
rnacentral:rRNA from 1 species